rnacentral:rRNA from 1 species
CCACGCUUUCGUCCCUCAGCGUCAGUACAUACGUAGUAGACUGCCUUCGCAAUCGGUAUUCUGUGUAAUAUCUAUGCAUUUCACCGCUACACUACACAUUCUAUCUACUUCCAUAUGACUCAAGUCAACCAGUAUCAAAGGCAGUUCCAUAGUUGAGCUAUGGGAUUUCACCUCUGACUUAAUCGACCGCCUGCGGACCCUUUAAACCCAAUGAUUCCGGAUAACGCUCGGACCCUCCGUAUUACCGCGGCUGCUGGCACGGAGUUAGCCGGUCCUUAUUCUUACAGUACCGUCAAGCUGGUAUACAUACCAGUGUUUCUUCCUGUAUAAAAGUAGUUUACAACCCAUAGGGCAUUCUUCCUACACGCGGCAUGGCUGGAUCAGAGUCUCCUCCAUUGUCCAAUAUUCCUCACUGCUGCCUCCCGUAGGAGUCUGGUCCGUGUCUCAGUACCAGUGUGGGGGAUCUCCCUCUCAGGACCCCUACCUAUCGCUGUCUUGGUAAGCCGUUACCUUACCAACUAACUAAUAGGACGCAUAGCCAUCUUUUACCGAUAAAUCUUUAAUUAUAAACUGAUGCCAGUCUACAAUACUAUGAGGCAUUAAUCUUCAUUUCUAAAGGCUAUUCCUCUGUAAAAGGUAGGUUCUAUACGCGUUACGCACCCGUGCGCCGGUCGUCAUCUGUGCAAGCACAAUGUUACCCCUCGACUUGCAUGUGUUAAGCCUGCCGCUAGCGUUCAUCCUGAGCCAGGAUCAAACUCU